rnacentral:lncRNA from 1 species
GUUCCGUUUUUUUUUUAAUUUUUCUUGGGUACUUACUUUAAUAGUGAUGUCUGCUUUUCUGCUAUUAAUAUAUAUGGCCAUUUACACUGCUUCAAACCCACACAUCCAUCAAGCUUGGAGACUAUUUUCUCAAGUCACCCCUGCUAAGAAAUGCGCCAUUACCAGAAGAAUAAAAUGUAGAUGAUGAAGUUUAUAUUUCAACUCUAUUGGGAAAAAAAUCCAUCAUCAUCAAAUACCCCGACUCUCUUAAUAUGAAUUGAAUCAAUGUGUAUGCUGGAGAUAUAUUUUCCAAAAUUUAUUGUAUGAUUUAACCAUGGUCAUGACAUCUUACUAUAAGGGAAACUCC